AUGCUAGCUAGAGAUUCCUGUUUGCUAUAUUUUUGUGCAGGGCUGGUUUUGAAGAUUAGCUUGAAACAAACUUAUAACUGGCUGGUGUUUGAUGCAGCAGGGCACAAUUUGAUUUUCUUUUCCAUGGAUCGAAACAGGUCUUAUCCACGUAUCUUGAACUUGGCCCAUGAUUAUGCAUCUCAAGGUCUCAUAAGAGCUUGUAAGCCCAUCAACCAGGUAUGCCAUGUUGAACAUAACCCUGCCUUGAAUGCCUUGAACCUUGAAUUACUUUGCAUGAAUUCUUCCAUGAGAAGCCCAAUUCAAUCUAAAUCUACUCGCAUUGCAGAUAACAAAUGA